GACGAACGCUGGCGGCGUGCCUAAUACAUGCAAGUAGAACGCUGAAGGAGGAGCUUGCUUCUCUGGAUGAGUUGCGAACGGGUGAGUAACGCGUAGGUAACCUGCCUGGUAGCGGGGGAUAACUAUUGGAAACGAUAGCUAAUACCGCAUAAUAGUAGAUGUUGCAUGACAUUUGCUUAAAAGGUGCAAUUGCAUCACUACCAGAUGGACCUGCGUUGUAUUAGCUAGUUGGUGGGGUAACGGCUCACCAAGGCGACGAUACAUAGCCGACCUGAGAGGGUGAUCGGCCACACUGGGACGGAGACACGGCCCAGACUCCUACGGGAGGCAGCAGUAGGGAAUCUUCGGCAAUGGACGGAAGUCUGACCGAGCAACGCCGCGUGAGUGAAGAAGGGUUUCGGAUCGUAAAGCUCUGUUGUAAGAGAAGAACGAGUGUGAGAGUGGAAAGUUCACACUGUGACGGUAUCUUACCAGAAAGGGACGGCUAACUACGUG
rnacentral:rRNA from 1 species